rnacentral:rRNA from 1 species
GACGAACGCUGGCGGCGUGCCUAAUACAUGCAAGUCGAACGCAGUGGGGACGGGUGAGUAACACGUGGGUAACCUCCCAUCAGAGGGGAUAACACUUGGAAACAGGUGCUAAACCGAAAACGAUGGAUGGACCUGCUGUGCAUGAGCUAGUUGGUGAGGUAACGGCUUACCAAGGCCACGAUACAUACCGGACCUGAGAGGGUGAGCGGCCACACUGCGACUGAGACACGGCCCAGACCCCUACGGGAGGAAGCAUUAGGGAAUCUUCGGCAAUGGACGAAAGUCUGACCGGGCAACGCCGCGUGAGUGAAGAAGGUUUUCGGAUCGUAAAACUCUGUUGUUAGAGAAGCGGUAUCUAACCAGAAAGCCACGGCUAACUACGUGCCAGCAGCCGCGGUAAUUC